rnacentral:rRNA from 1 species
UAGGGAAUCUUCCACAAUGGGCGAAAGCCUGAUGGAGCAACGCCGCGUGUGUGAUGAAGGGUUUCGGCUCGUAAAACACUGUUGUAAGAGAAGAAUGACAUUGAGAGUAACUGUUCAAUUGUGUGACGGUAUCUUACCAGAAAGGAACGGCUAAAUACGUGCCAA